rnacentral:ncRNA from 1 species
CAAAGGUUUGGUCCUGACUUUUCUAUCAGCUUUAGCUAGGCUUACACAUGCAAGUAUCCGCCCCCCCGUGAGAAUGCCCUACAGUCCCCCUACCCGGGGGCAAGGAGCUGGUAUCAGGCACAAUCCCACAGAUACUGCCCACGACACCUUGCUUAGCCACACCCCCAAGGGAUGCCAGCAGUGAUAAACAUUAAGCCAUGAGUGAAAACUUGACUUAGCCACAGCUACUAGGGCCGGUAAAACUCGUGCCAGCCACCGCGGUUAUACGAGAGGCCCAAGUUGAUAGACGCCGGCGCAAAGAGUGGUUAGGUAACCUGACAAACUAAAGCCGAACGCCCCCAAGACUGUUAUACGUGCUCGGAGGUAUGAAGCCCAACUACGAAAGUGGCUUUAACUAUGUCUGAACCCACGAAAGCUGUGAACAACUGCUUACUUGAUCAUUUAUUACAUAAAACAUCCGCCUGGAAAUUACGAACGUCAGUUUAAAACCCAAAGGACUUGGCGGUGCUUAACAUCCACCUAGAGGAGCCUGUCCUAUAACCGAUAACCCCCGUUCAACCUCACCUUUUCUUGUAAUUUCAGCCUAUAUACCACCGUCGCCAGCUUACCCUGUGAAGGAUUAGUAGUAAGCACAAUUGGCAAUGCCCAGUACGUCAGGUCGAGGUGUAGCAUAUGAAAAGGGAGAGAGAUGGGCUACAUUCGCUAAAAAUAGUGAAUACGAAUAAUACAUUGAAACAUGUAUCUGAAGGAGGAUUUAGCAGUAAGUUGGAAAUAGAGUGUCCCACUGAAGCCGGCUCUUAAGCGUGCACAUACCGCCCGUCACCCUCACCGAGCCCCACUUGUUUAUUUAACUAAACCAACAUAUUUUUAUGCUAAGGAGAGGAAAGUCGUAACAUGGUAAGCGUACCGGAAGGUGUGCUUGGAUAAU